rnacentral:rRNA from 1 species
AUUGAACGCUGGCGGCAUGCUUUACACAUGCAAGUCGAACGGCAGCGCGGGCUUCGGCCUGGCGGCGAGUGGCGAACGGGUGAGUAAUGCAUCGGAACGUGCCCAGUAGUGGGGUAUAGCACGGCGAAAGCCGGAUUAAUACCGCAUACGACCUGAGGGUGCAAGCGGGGGACCGAAAGGCCUCGCGCUAUUGGAGCGGCCGAUGUCGGAUUAGCUAGUUGGUGGGGUAAAGGCUUACCAAGGCGACGAUCCGUAGCUGGUCUGAGAGGACGACCAGCCACACUUGGACUGAGACACGGCCCAGACUCCUACGGGAGGCAGCAGUGGGGAAUUUUGGACAAUGGGGGCAACCCUGAUCCAGCCAUGCCGCGUGCGGGAAGAAGGCCUUCGGGUUGUAAACCGCUUUUGUUCGGGAAGAAAUCCUCUGGGCUAAUACCCCGGGGGGAUGACGGUACCGGAAGAAUAAGCACCGGCUAACUACGUG